rnacentral:rRNA from 1 species
UACGUAGGGGGCAAGCGUUGUCCGGAUUUACUGGGCGUAAAGAGCGUGUAGGCGGCCACGCAGGUCCGUUGUGAAAACUGGAGGCUCAACCUCCAGCUGUCGACGGAAACCGUAUGGCUAGAGUCCGGAAGAGGAGAGUGGAAUUCCUGGUGUAGCGGUGAAAUGCGCAGAUAUCAGGAAGAACACCAAUGGCGAAGGCAGCUCGCUGGGACGUAACUGACGCUGAGACGCGAAAGCGUGGGGAGCAAACAGG